rnacentral:rRNA from 1 species
GUUAAUUAAAUAAGCUUGCUUAAUUAAGAGACAUGGUGGACUGGUGAGUAACGUGUAAAGAACUUACCUCUUAGACUGGGAUAACCGUUGGAGACGACGGAUAAUACUAGAUAUUAUUAGAGUAGGGCAUCCUACAUUAAUGAAAGAGAGAUCACUAAGAGAGAGCUUUGCAUCCUAUUAGCUAGUUGGUGGGGUAAAGGCCUACCAAGGCGAUGAUAGGUAGCCGGCCCGAGAGGGUGAACGGCCACAAGGGGA